rnacentral:rRNA from 1 species
UACGGGGGGGGUAAGCGUUGUUCGGAAUUACUGGGCGUAAAGGGCUCGUAGGCGGCCAACUAAGUCGGACGUGAAAUCCCUCAGCUUAACUGGGGAACUGCGUCUGAUACUGGAUGGCUUGAGUUUGGGAGAGGGAUGCGGAAUUCCAGGUGUAGCGGUGAAAUGCGUAGAUAUCUGGAGGAACACCGGUGGCGAAGGCGGCAUCCUGGACCAACACUGACACUGAGGAGCGAAAGCCAGGGGAGCAAACGGG